UUACGGCCAUAUCACGUUGAAACACAGGUUCUUGCACGAUCACUGAAAUUAAGCAACGUCGAGCCUGGUCAGUACCUAGAUGGGUGACCGUUUGGGAAUUCUAGGUGUUGUG